ACGACUAACUGGAAGUGAUGGGUCGUUCUGGCAGCUGGCUGGGCGACCUUGUCCCACCGCGACUAAGAAUGAUACCCAGGCUGCUGGGGCGGAGAGGCGAAAGUUUCACCAGCUGCCUUCCUCGUGAGCUGCCAGCUUGGCGAACCCGUUGGUAACACAAGGAAGCUCUUUCUGGAUGCUUGACUGGUCUCCAGGGGACACGGGUUCGAGCCCUGGUCCGGGAAGAUCCCACAUGCUGCGGAG